GAUGAACGCUAGCGGCGUGCCUAAUACAUGCAAGUCGAGCGAACAGAUGAGGAGCUUGCUCCUCUGACGUUAGCGGCGGACGGGUGAGUAACACGUGGAUAACCUACCUAUAAGACUGGGAUAACUUCGGGAAACCGGAGCUAAUACCGGAUAAUAUAUUGAACCGCAUGGUUCAAUAGUGAAAGACGGUUUUGCUGUCACUUAUAGAUGGAUCCGCGCCGCAUUAGCUAGUUGGUAAGGUAACGGCUUACCAAGGCAACGAUGCGUAGCCGACCUGAGAGGGUGAACGGCCACACUGGAACUGAGACACGGUCCAGACUCCGACGGGAGGCAGCAGUAGGGAAUCUUCCGCAAUGGGCGAAAGCCUGACGGAGCAACGCCGCGUGAGUGAUGAAGGUCUUCGGAUCGUAAAACUCUGUUAUUAGGGAAGAACAAAUGUGUAAGUAACUAGGCACGUCUUGACGGUACCUAAUCAGAAAGCCACGGCUAACUACGUG
rnacentral:rRNA from 1 species